UAGCAGUGGUGAUAAUGACGGCAAUGAUAAAGAAGGCAGUGGGUAUAGAUCAUGGAGAAAGAGAAGAGGCAUAAAGAUUAUAGUGAAUUUUUCUUUUUCUAUGAUCGGAUUAAGGAUUCAUCUUUGCAUGAAUCCAAAAUCAUCCAUGCAUAAAUUUCAAAGCACUCCAAACUCCAUUGCUAUGCAGAUUUUAAAGUGAUCCAUGGAUGAUUCGCUAGAG
rnacentral:lncRNA from 1 species